rnacentral:rRNA from 1 species
AUUGAACGCUGGCGGCAUGCCUUACACAUGCAAGUCGAACGGUAACAGGUCUUCGGAUGCUGACGAGUGGCGAACGGGUGAGUAAUACAUCGGAACGUGCCUAGUAGUGGGGGAUAACUACUAGAAAGAGUGGCUAAUACCGCAUGAGAUCUACGGAUGAAAGCAGGGGAUCGCAAGACCUUGUGCUACUAGAGCGGCCGAUGGCAGAUUAGGUAGUUGGUGGGAUAAAAGCUUACCAAGCCGACGAUCUGUAGCUGGUCUGAGAGGACGAUCAGCCACACUGGGACUGAGACACGGCCCAGACUCCUACGGGAGGCAGCAGUGGGGAAUUUUGGACAAUGGGCGCAAGCCUGAUCCAGCAAUGCCGCGUGCAGGAUGAAGGCCUUCGGGUUGUAAACUGCUUUUGUACGGAACGAAAAGCCCCGGGUUAAUACCCUGGGGUCAUGACGGUACCGUAAGAAUAAGCACCGGCUAACUACGUGCCAGCCGCCGCAGUAACAC